rnacentral:tRNA from 1 species
GAGGGUAUAGCUCAGUGGUAGAGUGAAUGCUUACCAUGCACGAGGUCCUGGGUUCACUCCCCAGAAUCUCCA